GCCCCGGAAGUGCCGCGAGGAGGCGCGGCCCGGGCCUCGCUGGGCAGGGGCGCCAGCUGGGUUCCUAAGGGUCCUUCGGAGCGACCGAGCCAGGACCAAACCAUGUUAGACGCGCUGUACGACCGAGAGCCCUAGAGCCCCCAGUUCAGAUGGCCGCUCCCUAAGUGACAGCACGGAGCUGACGGUCGCCGGGGCGAAGUCUUCCGCGGAAAUCAAUCUCUCCUUCAGUUAGAAGAGAAACCGCCAAGACUUGCAUCUCCCACAGCGAAGCAUCCAGUGUUCACAAUUUGGUGAUGCUGAUACGGUAAAUAGCCAGGGCUCCAAAUAAAGCUACCACAAAGACA